AGAACGAACGCUGGCGGCAUGCCUAACACAUGCAAGUCGAACGCUUUUGGGACUUCGGUCCCAAGGGAGUGGCGCACGGGUGAGUAGCGCGUGGGAACCUGCCCUGGAGUGGGGGAUAACCGAGGGAAACUUCGGCUAAUACCGCAUCCGCCCCGGCGCGAGCCGGGGGAAAGAUUUAUCGCAAGAUAUUUCGCUCUGGGAGGGGCCCGCGUCGGAUUAGGUAGUUGGUGGGGUAACGGCCCACCAAGCCUGUGAUCCGUAGCUGGUCUGAGAGGAUGAUCAGCCACACUGGGACUGAGACACGGCCCAGACUCCUACGGGAGGCAGCAGUGGGGAAUAUUGGACAAUGGGCGCAAGCCUGAUCCAGCAAUGCCGCGUGAGUGAUGAAGGCCUUCGGGUUGUAAAGCUCUUUCGCCCGCGACGAUGAUGACGGUACCGCAAGAAUAACGCCCCGGCUAACUUCGUGCCAGCAGCCGC
rnacentral:rRNA from 1 species